rnacentral:rRNA from 1 species
UCCGCGGCCGCAGAGUUUGAUCAUGGCUCAGGACGAACGCUGGCGGCGUGCCUAACACAUGCAAGUCGAACGGGGGUAGCAAUACCCCAGUGGCGAACGGGUGCGUAACACGUGAGGAACAUUCCUUCCGGUGGGGGAUAGCCGGCCUAACGGCCGGGUAAUACCGUAUACGCUGUUCGGGGUGCAUACCCUGGAUCGGAAAGCAGCAAUGCGCCGGAAAGAUGCCUCGCGGCCUAUCAGCUAGUUGGUGAGGUAAUGGCUCACCAAGGCGACGACGGGUAGCUGGUCUGAGAGGAUGGCCAGCCACAUUGGGACUGAGACACGGCCCAGACUCCUACGGGAGGCAGCAGUGGGGAAUCUUGCGCAAUGGGCGAGAGCCUGACGCAGCGACGCCGCGUGUGGGAUGACGGCCUUCGGGUUGUAAACCACUGUCGUGAGGGACGAAGAUCUGACGGUACCUCGAAAGGAAGCACCGGCUAACUCUGUGCCAGCAGCCGCGGUAAUACAGAGGGUGCAAGCGUUGUCC